GAUGAAGAACGUAGCGAAAUGCGAUACGUAAUGUGAAUUGCAAAUUCAGUGAAUCAUCGAGUCUUUGAACGCACAUUGCGCCCCCUGGUAUUCCGGGGGGCAUGCCUGUCCGAGCGUCAUUGCUGCCCUCAAGCACGGCUUGUGUGUUGGGCCCCGUCCUCCGAUUCCGGGGGACGGGCCCGAAAGGCAGCGGCGGCACCGCGUCCGGUCCUCGAGCGUAUGGGGCUUUGUCACCCGCUCUGUAGGCCCGGCCGUCGCUUGCCGAUCAACCCAAAUUUUUAUCCAGGUUGACCUCGGAUCAGGUAGGGAUACCCGCUGAACUUAAGCAUAUCAAUAAGCGGAGGA
rnacentral:misc_RNA from 1 species